CUCAGGAGUUCAAGCUUCCUGGAGUGGGUGAGUUUCCUCAUUUUCUCUCUCUGUUUCCUUUUCUAACUCAGAUUCUUCAGAUUUCCAGACAACUAUUUUCUCCAAAAAAGUUGCACCAAGCAAAAAAUUACCUCAAUACACAUAAUGGCAAGGAAAUCUUUUGAAGAAAAAAUUGCAAAUGUUUUGGCAUACAUAAGGAGUAGCACAUAUCCUGAAGGAAUGAAUAAAGCAGGCAGACUGAACCUGCGUCGAUAUGCUGUCAACUUUUCAUUGGAAGAGGGGAGAUUGUUCCAUUCAGCAAAAGGAAGAAAGGUUGUUGUUGUGCAUACCAUGAAAGAAGCCCUGCAACUCUUUAAAAGGUAUCAUGACAGUCCAGAGGGUGGACAUCUAGGAAUAUUCAAAACCAGGAAUGCGCUGACAUCAAAAUACUAUUGGCCAGGGAUGACAAAAGA